rnacentral:rRNA from 1 species
GAUGAACGCUGGCGGCGUGCCUAAUACAUGCAAGUCGAGCGUACUGACCAGACGUUUGCUUGUCUUAUGUUUGCGGCGGACGGGGGUGUAACAUGUGGAUAACCUACUUAUCAGUCUUAGAUCACUUCGGGACAGCGGCUCUAAUACCGGAUAAUCUUUUGCACCGUUUGGUUCGAAGGUGAAAGUCUGCCUUGUUGUCUUUUCUAGCUGGAUCUCCGCUGCUUUAGCUAGUUGGUUAGGUAACGGCUUACCACGGCAACGAUGCAUAGCCGAACGUAGAGGGGGAUGGGCGACACAGGAACUGAGACAAGGACAAGAAUCCUACGGGAGGCAGCAGUAGGGAAUGUGCCGCAAUAGGCGAAAGACUGACGGAGGAACGGCGCGUGAGUGAUGAAGGUCUUCGGAUCGUGAAAAUCUGUUUUGAGGGAAGAACAGAUGUGUAAGGAACUGAACACAUCUUGACGGUACCGAAUCAGAAAGCCACGGCUAACUACGUG